CGCCGCGCUGCGGGGCCGGGGCGGAGGCAUUACUUCUUGCAAAAUUAGCCCCAAGCCUGCCUUUUGGCUUCGCGGCUCCCCUUUUUUAUUCUUUUUUUCUUUUUUUUCCUAGCAGACACAGAAGCAGAACGAGACAUAGGUAGGGAGAGCGGGAGGAAAUUGGAAACAUAUUUAAAAAUGUAAAUGGGUUCGAGCCAGCCUGACACUGUUUAGAGGGUAAAACGAGGCGCACGCCCGGAUCAACUUAAUGAAGCAGAGAUUGAUGCAGUUUGAGACGCUGCUACAAACUUUCAGCCCGUGUUCGUAGUGCGUUUGGUGAGGGGACAGGAGUAGCUGACCCAAAGUGGGGUAAAGCAGCUCUCAGAAACAUCCCCUGUAACCUAAAACAGAUUGUCAGGGAGGCAGAUGGGGCUGCAAAAAGCCAUUUGGACUGUUCGCCUGUCGAGAGGAUGUCGCUGCCCUUCUCGGAUGUAUUCCUUCCGCAGGCAGCUGGAGAGACACAUCUCCGCGAGCUGGUACUUUUUAAGGCAGCCGAUCCAGGUGACUUGUGCUGUUUGCAGCGAGGUAGGGUGGGCUGCAGAUGCGGAUGGGAUGUGGGGGGGGGCUUGGGAAGCAGAUGGGGAGGGGGGUUGCAGCCAGGCCAUUGGAAAUCAACGAGGUCCUUUUCUUUUCUUUUCUUUUCUUUUCUUUUCUUUUCUUUUCUUUUCUUUUCUUUUCUUUUCUUUUCUUUCUUCUCUUCUCUUCUCUUCUCUUCUUCUCUUCUCUUCUCUUUUCUUCUCUUUUCUUCUCUCUUCCCUUCUCUUCUCUUUUUUCUGUUUUGUUCUGUUCUCUUCUUUUCCCUUUCUCUUCUCUUCUUUUCUCUUUUCCUUUUCCCUUCUUUUCUCCUCUUCUUUUCUCCCUUCUUUUCUCUUCUCUUCUCUUCUUUUCUCCCUUCUUUUCUUUCUUCUUUUCUUUUGCCUUCUUUACUUUUCUUUUUCUCUUCAUUUCUUUUCAUUUCUUUUCUCUUUUUAUUUCUUUCUUUUUCCCUAUUUUUUUCUCUAUUUUUUCUUUUUUCUCUUUUCUUGUUCCUUUUCCUUCUCCUUUUUUGUCUAUUUCGCUUUAUCCUUUUUACCUGUUUUUCUUUUAAUUUUUUUCGUUUCUCUCUCCUUUCCCCAUUUCAUUUUCCCUUUUCUUUUUGUUUUCCUUUUUCGUUUUCCUUUUCUUCUUUUUCUUUUCCCUUUCCCUUUCUUUUUCUCUCUCUUUUUUUCGCUUUUCUUGUUAAAAAAAGAAACAAACCAAUAAUACUGCUAAGAACAGCCAGGACAGUUUUCUCUCUCCUCCCCAGAAACUUCCACGGGAUAUUUUCGUCUCCGAUCCCUUGUGGGGAGGUGGGGGGGNNNNNNNNNN
rnacentral:lncRNA from 1 species